UCUUAAGUUCUCAGGUCUCCCCCUGCUUUUUUUUUUCUUUUUAAACCUUUCACACACCGCACGGGGAUAUAAACAAUCUCGCCUGUCAACGUGUGGUUUUAAGGAGAUUUUGUAAAUACAACAUUUGCCUCAUCUGCCAAAUGGAACUUUGCUUUGCAGUUUGCUGUCUGUGAUGUCGGUAGCUUUCAGGUCUGAAAUCGGCGCUUCUCUUCAUCCGGAAACACACUUCAAUGAGGCAACACAAAUAUGGGGGAGGAGAGGGAGAAGCCAAGUAAUUGCUGUCACUUUUUGGCUGCACCUUGCCCUCAACACAAUAUUUUCUAUCAUCAUGCAGCUAUGUAACUGAGCCACGCUGACGACAGACAAAACAAAACAAAUCAACAAAGGCCAGAUAACAGGAGAGACCAUGUGGUGAGAUGACAGAUGAAGCAACUACCAGCUACCCCUGCCCGGCCCCAUGCCCCGCCCCCUUUUGCCCUGACACAGCCAAUGACCAUACAGUAUGUCAGGCCUCUCCUGACCUGCGUCAAGAGCCUCCUCCCAGUCUCCCUCUCUGUCUGUCCAUAUGUCCCGCCUCCCUUCUGCUGCAGUGCUUGUUAUGACAUUAUAUGUCAAUGGACCAGAAACCCUUUUCAGACUGUAAUCCUUUGUCACCUGCUGAAGAUCAUAAACAACAAUGUGUAACCAGAAGGGUCCCCUUUGAAUCCGGACAUUGACAUAUAAUUGCAAUUAGUAACUACUUAGUUAACAAAAGGAAUUAUUCAGCACUUUGGGAAAUAGUCUUAUUCGGCUGUCUGAGAACUGGAUGGGAAGAGCUGUGCUACUCCCAUGUCCGUAUGUUGUGAAGCUGAAGGAGCUAUUUUGGGAGCCCCUCGUUUCAGACGGAUCAUUUUCUUCAGAGACAAUGUCAAGCCACUGACAACUGAAGAACUUCCUGGUCUUGAAUGGGCAUGAAAGUCUCCUGCUGCGGUUCCCUCACAUGAGCACCAGUGAGUGACUUCAGGCCUCAAUGUGGGCAUUAAUGCUUUCAUGUGUCAUAUGCGAGAGAAGCCUCAGAAGUCCCUGACGAAGCACCCCAACCUCUCUCCCAACAUGAGAAAGAAUGAGUAGAUUGAUCACAUGAUGUCUGAACUAUCAUCAGGGGCACACCU